UAUUGAUUGAUUAGUUGCUAGUGAAAGUUGAUUAAUACUAAAUAUAAUACUCCGUGCAAUGAAUUCGGCUGAAUAUCAUCGUUCUUCGUAUAUUAUUACCCAUUGAGUAUGAUGAAAUGGCUUAAUAACUAUUGAUUAAUGUGGUCGGAAAUGCGAACGUGUAUUAUAAUAAGAUGGAGACUUAUCGGAGUUAUUUUCAUAUAUGUUAGUAAAUUAUAUGUGGUCGUUUUUAGAAUUUAGAAUUUGUUUUUUUUUUUGUUAGCAUGUAGGCUAAUGGAUAUCCACUCUAUAGUUUUCUCUGAAGACUUAAUGCUACGAAUGCCUAAUAUGUGCCGAUGCAUUAAAAGUUCGUAACCGUAUCCAUUGGCUAUAAUUUAUGAAAACAACAAAAACGAUAGUCCAUGCCCUCGUAAUGCUUUACUUUAUAAACAUUUAAAAUCAAUUGGCUUUUUAAUUUUUCUUGAAAGUCAAUGUUGAGGUAUUCGUAUUGGAGUGUCGAUAACCUAGAAUUUCUAAUUUCUGUGUGCCGAGGGUGAUUUCGGUACACCGAAGAGUGGAAAGGUAAUGUUAGGUGUGGAAAGGUAGCCAAGGAGCGUAAAAAUAGUUGUUAGACUGUGCGAUAAUCGUGCCUUGCGUAAUAAAUUCAGGCAUAUCCGUUACUUUUUGUUGGAUUUAAAUUUUCGAUACUGUCAAGGCCUGGUAAGGACAGCUGUCUCAUUUUUGCGCCAAUAGACGCACGACACGUAGGCGAGCUACGCGUCGGGCAGUUUGUGGAGCACAUGCGCUGGCCGAUACAGCUGUCCCAUUUUUGCGCCAAUUGACGCACGACACGUAGGUGAGCUACGCGUCGGGCAGUUUGUGGAGCGCAUGCGCUGGCUGAUCCAGCUGUCCCAAUCAAUGCGUGACACGUAGGCACCCGUGCGUGUCGGGUGGUUGGUGGACUGCAUGCGCUGGAUUUGACAGCUGUCCUAAUCAACGCAUGACACGUCGGCACCCCUACGCGUCGGACGGUCGGUGGACUGCAUGCGCUGGAUUUGACAGCUGUCCUGUAUCAAACGCCUAUAAAAACCGGCCUAGAACAGCCUUCAUUCUCCACACAAACAAGAGUUCUUCUAAUAGAGGGAUCUGCUUCUCUUUUCUCUGCUAGUAAUUUUCUUUCGUUGGAAGUUUUAUUUCGAUUCGUUGGCAUUUUUUCUUGGUUGCCGAUGAUUGUUUGAAGGUCUGGAACCAAACUCUUCAGUUAUUUUCGUAGUAAUUUUUUUGUUUGUUAUAAAAUUAAGGAAUUUCACAAUUGAUCUGCUCCAAUUCUGAUUGGAUUUUCUUGAAAUUUCCUUGUUUUGCAGGGGUAAAGAUGGAAAGUUGAUUUCGUCACACGAAUGGAAAACGAGCAAGAAAUCACCGUCGGGUGCACAGAUCCUAGAUCUGUUCCAUGCACCCGAUCUAUUUUGCCUUGGGCAAGCUAUACUAACAGGAAUCACCACCUUCAGUUCAAUCCUGAGGGUACUAUGGAUCCAUUACGAUUAAGAUAUACCGCUUGGUAACUUAUCUGCAUGUGGGCUGGAGGACGCGAAAGAUUUGGGGAUGUAGCUGGAUCUCGGGUCUUACGAGGUGCCAGCUGUACUCCGUUACUCGUGCUCCUUCCAUCCCUACCUCCCCCCUUUAUAUAUCGGCGCGAAUAAUAACGACAACGGCGUUGAGUAGAGAGGAGAUUUCGUGAGUUGUCGAAUAGAAGAGAAGAUAAAAUGUAUAGGGGAGGGGAAUUUAGUGAUACCCCUUUUAGUUUCUCCGGCCUCCUAGACUUUGUAGAGAGAGAAAAUAUUUAUGUCUGCAAGCGCCAGGGUUGGAGUUAAUGUUUGUUUAUAUUUUGAGAAUUUUUUUUAUCUUUGUGCGUAGAAUUUCAGUUGUAAAAUUAUGCCGCUAUAAUAUAGUAAGGGAUGUGUAGUUUUUGGAGAGAAGAAUUUGGAACGAAAUACGAGACAUUGUUUUCGUGUAGCAGUCGAGUCAUAGAGAAAUGUAUCUUGAGAGAAGAAUUUGGAACGAAGUAUGAGACAUUGUUUUCGUGUAGCAGUCAAAUCAUGUUUGAAAGUAAUGGAAUGAGUUGAAUUGAGUGGAGUUUAUACUUUAUAGAUAAGUACAUAUUUUGUU